rnacentral:rRNA from 1 species
AUUGAACGCUGGCGGCAGGCCUAACACAUGCAAGUCGAACGAGUGGCGGACGGGUGAGUAAUGUCUGGGAAACUGCCUGAUGGAUGGGGAUAACUACUGGAAACGGUAGCUAAUACCGCAUACCAUCGGAUGUGCCCAGAUGGGAUUAGCUAGUGGGUGGGGUAAUGGCUCACCUAGGCGACGCUCCCUAGCUGGUCUGAGAGGAUGACCAUCCACACUGGAACUGAGACACGGUCAAGACUCCUACGGGAGGCAGCAGUGGGGAAUAUUGCAUAAUGGGCGCAAGCCUGAUGCAGCCAUGCCGCGUGUGUGAAGAAGGCCUUCGGGUUGGAAAGCACUUUCAGCGGGGAGGCGUUACCCGCAGAAGAAGCACCGGCUAACUCCGUGCCAGCAGCCGCGGUAAUUC